UACGUAGGGUGCGAGCGUUGCCCGGAAUUACUGGGCGUAAAGAGCUCGUAGGUGGUUUGUCGCGUUGUUCGUGAAAACUUACAGCUUAACUGUGGGCGUGCGGGCGAUACGGGCAGACUGGAGUACUGCAGGGGAGACUGGAAUUCCUGGUGUAGCGGUGAAAUGCGCAGAUAUCAGGAGGAACACCGGUGGCGAAGGCGGGUCUCUGGGCCGAUACUGACGCUGAGGAGCGAAAGUGUGGGGAGCGAACAGG
rnacentral:rRNA from 1 species